AUGUUGUUCAACUACAAGAUCGGCAUCCACCUGCUGCAGUCGAAGCAUCCCGAGAGCUUACCGGCGAAGAAGGAGAUCAACCCCAAGGAUAACCACAUCUCCUUCCAGUGCGAGAGCAUGGUGGCGGUGGAGCGGCGGCUCAAGGAGCUGGGCAUCCCGUACAUCCAGCGGUGCGUGGAGGAGGGCGGCAUCUACGUGGACCAGAUCUUCUUCCACGACCCCGAUGGCUUCAUGAUCGAGAUCUGCAACUGCGACAACCUCCCGAUCGUCCCGCUCGCCGACCAGACCUUCGCAAUGGCCGCCUGCAAGAGGGCCGCCUCCGUCAAGCAACAGCAGGUGCCCAUGCCAGUCGCACAAGUAGCGCAAGCAACCCCUGCUCCGACGGUGGCCGCGGCUUCGCAGUGCAUUCCGGCGCUGAACCCGGCCUUGCAGCGCGUCGGCGGCGAGGAGGCGGCGCAUAUCUCGUGCGCGUGA
rnacentral:rRNA from 1 species